rnacentral:rRNA from 1 species
AGGGAAUCUUCGGCAAUGGGGGCAACCCUGACCGAGCAACGCCGCGUGAGUGAAGAAGGUUUUCGGAUCGUAAAGCUCUGUUGUAAGUCAAGAACGGGUGUGAGAGUGGAAAGUUCACACUGUGACGGUAGCUUACCAGAAAGGGACGGCUAACUACGUGCCAGCAGCCGCGGUAAUACGUAGGUCCCGAGCGUUGUCCGGAUUUAUUGGGCGUAAAGCGAGCGCAGGCGGUUUGAUAAGUCUGAAGUUAAAGGCUGUGGCUCAACCAUAGUUCGCUUUGGAAACUGUCAAACUUGAGUGCAGAAGGGGAGAGUGGAAUUCCAUGUGUAGCGGUGAAAUGCGUAGAUAUAUGGAGGAACACCGGUGGCGAAAGCGGCUCUCUGGUCUGUAACUGACGCUGAGGCUCGAAAGCGUGGGGAGCGACAGGAUUAGAUACCCUGGUAGUCCACGCCGUAAACGAUGAGUGCUAGGUGUUGGAUCCUUUCCGGGAUUCAGUGCCGCAGCUAACGCAUUAAGCACUCCGCCUGGGGAGUACGACCGCAAGGUUGAAACUCUAAAGUGAAUUGAC